rnacentral:rRNA from 1 species
AGCGAACGCUGGCGGCAGGCCUAACACAUGCAAGUCGAACGAACCUUUCGGGGUUAGUGGCGGACGGGUGAGUAACACGUGGGAACGUGCCUUUAGGUUCGGAAUAACUCAGGGAAACUUGUGCUAAUACCGAAUGUGCCCUCCGGGGGAAAGUUUAAUCGCCUUUAGAGCGGCCCGCGUCUGAUUAGCUAGUUGGUUGAGGUAAUGGCUCACCAAGGCGACGAUCAGUAGCUGGGCUGAGAGGAUGAUCAGCCACAUUGGGACUGAGACACGGCCCAAACUCCUACGGGAUGCAGCAGUGGGGAAUCUUGCGCAAUGGGCGAAAGCCUGACGCAGCCAUGCCGCGUGAAUGAUGAAGGUCUUAGGAUUGUAAAAUUCUUUCACCGGGGACGAUAAUGACGGUACCCUGAGAAGAAGCCCCGGCUAACUUCGUG